rnacentral:piRNA from 1 species
UAUUGAAACAGUUUUUGUCAU